GCCUGCAGCUAUCUGCUUUGGGGUUUGCUCCUGUCAGAUCUCAUAACAUUAAGCAAAGUUUGGCUUCCUCAGUAUUUGCAUGGGAGAGCAGCUAGGGAAGUCCAGGACUCUGCAGAUA
ensembl:rRNA 5S_rRNA 5S ribosomal RNA